CCUUUGACGUUAGCGGCGGACGGGUGAGUAACACGUGGGUAACCUACCUAUAAGACUGGGAUAACUUCGGGAAACCGGAGCUAAUACCGGAUAAUAUUUCGAACCGCAUGGUUCGAUAGUGAAAGAUGGUUUUGCUAUCACUUAUAGAUGGACCCGCGCCGUAUUAGCUAGUUGGUAAGGUAACGGCUUACCAAGGCUACGAUACGUAGCCGACCUGAGAGGGUGAUUGGCCACACUGGAACUGAGACACGGUCCAGACUCCUACGGGAGGCAGCAGCC
rnacentral:rRNA from 1 species